rnacentral:rRNA from 1 species
GAUUAACGCUGGCGGCGUGCAUAACACAUGCAAGUCGAACGAUGAAACUUUAAUGAACCCUUCGGGGAGAAUUAAAGCGGAUUAGUGGCGAACGGGUGAGUAACGCGUGAGUAACCUGCCUUACACAAGGGGAUAGCCUUUGGAAACGAAGAAUAAUACCCUAUAAAACCAUAAAGGCACAUGCAAUUAUGGUCAAAGUAUUAGCGGUGUAAGAUGGACUUGCGUCUGAUUAGCUAGUUGGUGAGAUAAAAGCCCACCAAGGCAACGAUCAGUAGCCGGCUUGAGAGAGUGUACGGCCACAUUGGGACUGAGACACGGCCCAGACUCCUACGGGAGGCAGCAGUGGGGAAUUUUGCACAAUGGGGGAAACCCUGAUGCAGCGACGCCGCGUGAUUUAGAAGGCCUUCGGGUUGUAAAAAUCUUUUGUAUAGGAAGAAAAUGACAGUACUAUACGAAUAAGGUCCGGCUAAUUACGUGCCAGCAGCCGCGGUAAUACGUAAGGACCGAGCGUUGUCCGGAAUCAUUGGGCGUAAAGGGUACGUAGGCGGCUAGAAAAGUUAGAAGUCAAAGGCUAUAGCUCAACUAUAGUAAGCUUCUAAAACUAUUUAGCUUGAGAGAUGGAAGGGAAAGUGGAAUUCCUAGUGCAGCGCGUGGAAUGCGCAGAUAUUAGGAGGAAUACCGGUGGCGAAGGCGACUUUCUGGCCAUUUUCUGACGCUGAGGUACGAAAGCGUGGGUAGCAAACAGGAUUAGAUACCCUGGUAGUCCACGCCGUAAACGAUGAAUGUUAAGUGUCUGGAGUCAAAUCUGGGUGCCGCAGCAAACGCAUUAAACACUCCCGCCUGGGGAGUACGCACGCAAGUGUGAAACUCAAAGGAAUUGACGGGGACCCGCACAAGCAGCGGAGCAUGUGGUUUAAUUCUACGCAACGCGAAGAACCUUCCCAAGUCUUGACAUAUUUUUGAAGCAAUUAGAGAUAGUUGCCUAUAUCUUCGGAUAACUAAAAUACAGGUGGUGCAUGGUUGUCGUCAGCUCGUGUCGUGAGAUGUUGGGUUAAGUCCCAUAACGAGCGCAACCCCUAUUGCUAGUUACCAUCAUUAAGUUGGGGACUCUAGUAAUACUGCCGGUGACAAACCGGAGGAAGGUGGGGAUGACGUCAAAUCAUCAUGCCCUUUAUGACUUGGGCUACACACGUGCUACAAUGGCAGGUACACAGGGAAGCAAGACUGUGAAGUUAAGCCAAACUCAAAAAGCCUGUCCCAGUUCGGAUUGCACUCUGCAACUCGAGUGCAUGAAGUUGGAGUUGCUAGUAAUCGCAGAUCAGAAUGCUGCGGUGAAUGCGUUCCCGGGUCU